rnacentral:rRNA from 1 species
UGGGGAAUUUUGGACAAUGGGCGAAAGCCUGAUCCAGCAAUGCCGCGUGUGUGAAGAAGGCCUUCGGGUUGUAAAGCACUUUUGUCCGGAAAGAAAUCCUUGGCUCUAAUACAGUCGGGGGAUGACGGUACCGGAAGAAUAAGCACCGGCUAACUACGUGCCAGCAGCCGCGGUAAUACGUAGGGUGCAAGCGUUAAUCGGAAUUACUGGGCGUAAAGCGUGCGCAGGCGGUUUGCUAAGACCGAUGUGAAAUCCCCGGGCUCAACCUGGGAACUGCAUUGGUGACUGGCAGGCUAGAGUAUGGCAGAGGGGGGUAGAAUUCCACGUGUAGCAGUGAAAAUGCGUAGAGAUGUGGAGGAAUACCGAUGGCGAAGGCAGCCCCCUGGGCCAAUACUGACGCUCAUGCACGAAAGCGUGGGGAGCAAAACAGGAUUAGAUACCCUGGUAGUCCACGCCCUAAAACGAUGUCAACUAGUUGUUGGGGGAUUCAUUUCCUUAGUAACGUAGCUAACGCGUGAAGUUGACCGCCUGGGGAGUACGGUCGCAAGAUUAAAACUCAAAUGAAUUGACGGGGUC